rnacentral:rRNA from 1 species
GAUGAACGCUAGCGGCAGGCUUAACACAUGCAAGUCGAGGGGUAUAGUUCUUCGGAAUUAGAGACCGGCGCACGGGUGCGUAACGCGUAUGCAAUCUACCUUUCACAGAGGGAUAGCCCAGAGAAAUUUGGAUUAAUACCUCAUAGUAUUAUAGGAUGGCAUCAUUUUAUAAUUAAAGUCACAACGGUGAAAGAUGAGCA